AUUGAACGCUGGCGGCAUGCCUUACACAUGCAAGUCGAACGGCAGCACGGGAGCAAUCCUGGUGGCGAGUGGCGAACGGGUGAGUAAUAUAUCGGAACGUGCCCAGUCGUGGGGAUAACGUAGCGAAAGCUACGCUAAUACCGCAUACGAUCUAUGGAUGAAAGCGGGGGAUCGCAAGACCUCGCGCGAUUGGAGCGGCCGAUAUCAGAUUAGGUAGUUGGUGGAGGUAAAGGCUCACCAAGCCGACGAUCUGUAGCUGGUCUGAGAGGACGACCAGCCACACUGGGACUGAGACACGGCCCAGACUCCUACGGGAGGCAGCAGUGGGGAAUUUUGGACAAUGGGCGAAAGCCUGAUCCAGCAAUGCCGCGUGAGUGAUGAAGCCUAGGUUGUAAAGCUCUUUUACCCGAGAUGAUAAUGACAGUAUC
rnacentral:rRNA from 1 species